UCGCUGUGAUGAAUGAUUUCCAAAGCCAUUCGUAGUUUCCACCAGACCAGAGUCGCAAGGCUCAUGAUGGUUCAGUACCUUCCUUGGAUGUCUGAGCGA